AGCAGCCGCGGUAAUUCCAGCUCCAAUAGCGUAUAUUAAAGUUGCUGCAGUUAAAAAGCUCGUAGUUGAAUUUCGGGACCAAUAUGUCGGUCGUGCCUCGGUACGUACUGGCAUCGUUGGUUUCUCCCUUCUGACGAACCAUGAUGUCAUUCAUUUGGUGUCGUGGGGAAUCAGGACUGUUACUUUGAAAAAUUAGAGUGUUUGAAGCAGGCUCACGCUUGAAUACAUUAGCAUGGAAUAAUGAAAUAGGACGUUUGAUUCUAUUUUGUUGGUUUCUAGGAUCGACGUAAUGAUUAAUAGGGAUAGUCGGGGGCAUUAGUAUUCAAUGGUCAGAGGUGAAAUUCUUGGAUUUAUUGAAGACUAACUACUGCGAAAGCGUUUGCCAAGGAUUGUUUUCAUUAAUCAAGAACGAAGUUAGGGGAUCGAAGACGAUCAGAUACCGUCGUAGUCUUAACCAUAAACUAUGCCGACUAGGGAUCGGAUGAUGUUAAUUUUAUAAUUGACUCAUUC
rnacentral:rRNA from 1 species